GUGCCAGCAGCCGCGGUAAUACCGGCAGCACGAGUGAUGGCCGCUAUUAUUGGGCCUAAGGCGCCCGUAGCCGGCCAGGCAAGUCCGUCGGGAAGUCCACCCGCUUAACGGGUGGGCGUCCGGCGGAAACUGCUCGGCUUGGGACCGGAGGACCCGAGGGGUACGUCCGGGGUAGGAGUGAAAUCCCGUAAUCCCGGACGGACCGCCGGUGGCGAAAGCGCCUCGGGAGGACGGAUCCGACGGUGAGGGACGAAAGCUAGGGUCUCGAACCGGAUUAGAUACCCUAGUAGUCC
rnacentral:rRNA from 1 species